rnacentral:rRNA from 1 species
CUAGUUGGUAGGGUAAUGGCCUACCAAGGCAAAGACGGGUAGGGGGCGUGAGAGCGUGGCCCCCCACACUGGUACUGAAACACGGACCAGAUACCUACGGGUAGCAGCAGCAAGGAAUAUUGCGCAAUGGGCGAAAGCCUGACGCAGCAACGCCGCGUGGAGGAUGAGGGCCUUCGGGUUGUAAACUCCUUUUCUGGGGGAAGAGAAAGGACGGUACCCCAGGAAUAAGGCCCGGCUAACUACGUGCCAGCAGCCGCGGUAAAACGUAGGGGUCAAGCGUUAUCCGGAUUUACUGGGCGUAAAGCGCAUGUAGGCGGUUGCUUAAGUCGGACGUGAAAGCUCCUGGCUCAACUAGGAGAGGCCGUUCGAAACUAGGUAACUCGAGGAUGGUAGAGGAGAGUGGAAUUCCCGGUGUAGUGGUGAAAUGCGUAGAUAUCGGGAGGAACACCAGUGGCGAAGGCGGCUCUCUGGGCCAUUCCUGACGCUGAGAUGCG